UACGUAGGGGGCAAGCGUUGUCCGGAAUCAUUGGGCGUAAAGCGCGCGUAGGCGGCCCGGUAAGUCCGUUGUAAAAGUCAAAGGCUCAACCUUUGAAAGCCGAUGGAUACUGCCGGGCUAGAAUCCGGAAGGGCGAGUGGAAUUCCUGGUGUAGCGGUGGAAUGCGCAGAUAUCAGGAGGAACACCAACAGCGAAGGCAGCUCGCUGGGACGGUAUUGACGCUGAGGCGCGAAAGCGUGGGGAGCAAACAGG
rnacentral:rRNA from 1 species